ACAUGUCUUUUAAGAUAAUAAUUAAAAGUCAAAUCUGCUCCAUGAAUUUAGUUUAAAUAGCUGCAGUAUAUUGACUGUACAAAGGUAGCAUAAUCAAUAGUUUUUUAAUUAGAAGCUGGAAUGAAAGAUUUAAUAAGGUGAAUAUUGUCUCAAAUUUAUUAAUAUUAUAAUUUUUUUUUUAGUAAAAACACUAAAAUGAAUUUAAAAGACGAGAAGACCCUAUAGAGUUUGAUAAUUUAAUUAUAAAUUAGGUAAAUUAAAUUAAUUAAUUAUAAUAAAAAUUAUUUGGUUGGGGAAAUUAUUAAAUUUAAUUAAUUUUAAUAUUUUUAAACAAUAAUUAUUGUUUUAAUGAUUUUAAAUUUUAAAAUACAAGAAUAAAUUACCUUAGGGAUAACAGCGUAAUUUUUUUGGAAAGAUCAUAUUGAUAAAAGAGUUUGCGACCUCGAUGUUGAAUUAAGAUAAAAUUUUAAUGAAGAAUUWAAAAAUUUUUAGUCUGUUCGACUAUUAAAAUCUUACGUG
rnacentral:rRNA from 1 species